rnacentral:rRNA from 1 species
GGACGGGUGAGUAAUGCCUAGGAAAUUGCCCUGAUGUGGGGGAUAACCAUUGGAAACGAUGGCUAAUACCGCAUAAUGCCUACGGGCCAAAGAGGGGGACCUUCGGGCCUCUCGCGUCAGGAUAUGCCUAGGUGGGAUUAGCUAGUUGGUGAGGUAAGGGCUCACCAAGGCGACGAUCCCUAGCUGGUCUGAGAGGAUGAUCAGCCACACUGGAACUGAGACACGGUCCAGACUCCUACGGGAGGCAGCAGUGGGGAAUAUUGCACAAUGGGCGCAAGCCUGAUGCAGCCAUGCCGCGUGUGUGAAGAAGGCCUUCGGGUUGUAAAGCACUUUCAGUCGUGAGGAAGGUAGUGUAGUUAAUAGCUGCAUUAUUUGACGUUAGCGACAGAAGAAGCACCGGCUAACUCCGUGCCAGCAGCCGCGGUAAUACGGAGGGUGCGAGCGUUAAUCGGAAUUACUGGGCGUAAAGCGCAUGCAGGUGGUUUGUUAAGUCAGAUGUG